ACUCCAAAGAACUCUCGAGGACGGGAGGUGGUGCACCACCGAAGGAGCCAUCCGCCGUGGACACCGCGAUAAAAGACGCUCUCCCUCACGAAUUUGUUAGAGACACGAGUGCUUACGACGACGACGUGGAAAUGGACGGAGAAACAACGACCGCACCAGAGCAACGUUUCGACUGCGUCCAAGAAGAUUGUGUAUUGGUGGAAGAGGCCACACUGGAGCACGUACCUACACCAGUGGAGUUGCUGCUAAGCACCCAAGUGCCUGCGCCGGAACACCUUGAUGAACCGGAAGAGGUGCUGCUGAACACCCGACCAUCCAAC